UACGUAGGGCGCAAGCGUUGUCCGGAAUUAUUGGGCGUAAAGAGCUCGUAGGCGGCCAGUUGCGUCCGCUGUGAAAUCCCGGGGCUUAACCCCGGGCGUGCAGUGGAGACGGGCUGGCUGGAGGCAGGCAGGGGAGAACGGAAUUCCUGGUGUAGCGGUGAAAUGCGCAGAUAUCAGGAGGAACACCGGUGGCGAAGGCGGGUCUCUGGGCCGAUAUUGACGCUGAGGAGCGAAAGCGUGGGGAGCAAACAGG
rnacentral:rRNA from 1 species